UAAAUACUGCCGUGUGCGACACAUUGCGGUUUUUAUAAUCCAACACUCUUUUUUAGGGAAUCUAUAAGCUCCAUCUGUGGAUUGCAGACCUCCCGCUUCGGCGGACGAAGGGAGCGUGAAUCAGUUGGGCAGGUACCCACCUUGCUGUAAUGGCUUGGUUUUAUGUGCCGCAAGACGGCACGGCGGUUUUAUU
rnacentral:other from 1 species